GCACAAUCGGAAGCGGAAACACCGUCAGUUAUAUAAUAAAAACAUGGCUGCCAUGCGAGGGUUAAUAAAAUCUUUAGGUCCUGAUAUUUCUGGUUACAAGCCGAUUGGUUUACUUGGUUCAUUUGUCAGAUGUAGCUCAACCUCUGCUGGACAAGUUCCACCACAAAAGACAAAGUUUGGGCCUCUGAAGGACGAAGAUCGGAUAUUCACUAAUCUCUAGGACGUCAUGAUUGGAGGUUGAAAGGA